UACAGAGGGUGCGAGCGUUGUUCGGAAUUAUUGGGCGUAAAGGGCGCGUAGGCGGCGCCACAAGUCACUUGUGAAAACUCUGGGCUCAACUCAGAGCCUGCAAGCGAAACUGUGGUGCUGGAGUAUGGGAGAGGUGCGUGGAAUUCCCGGUGUAGCGGUGAAAUGCGUAGAUAUCGGAAGGAACACCUGUGGCGAAAGCGGCGCACUGGACCAUAACUGACACUGAUAAGCGAAAGCCAGGGGAGCAAACGGG
rnacentral:rRNA from 1 species